UACGGAGGGGGCUAGCGUUGUUCGGAAUUACUGGGCGUAAAGCGCACGUAGGCGGAUAUUUAAGUCAGGGGUGAAAUCCCGGGGCUCAACCCCGGAACUGCCUUUGAUACUGGGUAUCUGGAGGUCGAGAGAGGCGGAGUGGAAUUCCGAGUGUAGAGGUGAAAUUCGUAGAUAUUCGGAGGAACACCAGUGGCGAAGGCGGCUCGCUGGCUCGAUACUGACGCUGAGGUGCGAAAGCGUGGGGAGCAAACAGG
rnacentral:rRNA from 1 species